GACGAACGCUGGCGGCGUGCUUAACACAUGCAAGUCGAACGGAAAGGCCCUGCUUUUGUGGGGUGCUCGAGUGGCGAGCGGGUGAGUAACACGUGAGUAACCUGCCCUUGACUUUGGGAUAACUUCAGGAAACUGGGGCUAAUACCGGAUAGGAGCUCCUGCUGCAUGGUGGGGGUUGGAAAGUUUCGGCGGUUGGGAUGGACUCGCGGCUUAUCAGCUUGUUGGUGGGGUAGUGGCUUACCAAGGCUUUGACGGGUAGCCGGCCUGAGAGGGUGACCGGCCACAUUGGGACUGAGAUACGGCCCAGACUCCUACGGGAGGCAGCAGUGGGGAAUAUUGCACAAUGGGCGGAAGCCUGAUGCAGCAACGCCGCGUGCGGGAUGACGGCCUUCGGGUUGUAAACCGCUUUCGCCUGUGACGAAGCGUGAGUGACGGUAAUGGGUAAAGAAGCACCGGCUAACUACGUG
rnacentral:rRNA from 1 species